rnacentral:rRNA from 1 species
AUACGUAGGGGGCGAGCGUUGUCCGGAAUGAUUGGGCGUAAAGGGCGCGUAGGCGGCCCGGUAAGUCUGGAGUGAAAGUCCUGUUUUUAAGAUGGGAAUUGCUUUGGAUACUGUCGGGCUUGAGUGCAGGAGAGGUAAGUGGAAUUCCCAAUGUAGCGGUGAAAUGCGUAGAGAUUGGGAGGAACACCAGUGGCGAAGGCGACUUACUGGACUGUAACUGACGCUGAGGCGCGAAAGUGUGGGGAGCAAACAGGAUUAGAUACCCUGGUAGUCCACACUGUAAACGAUGAAUGCUAGGUGUAGGGGGUAUCGACCCCUUCUGUGCCGCAGUCAACACAAUAAGCAUUCCGCCUGGGGAGUACGGCCGCAAGGUUGAAACUCAAAGGAAUUGACGGGG